AGGCCGGGGGUGAGUAUGCUAGUGGCCUUGGAGCAUUGGAUGAGGAACCAGGGCAAAAGAUGGAGCUUGAUCUGAAAUUGCAACCCAAGAGACCAACAGUCAGGGGUUUGUUUUUUGCUUUUUGGCAGCAAACUUACCCCUCCAGAUGCCCUAGAGAAAGCAAGGCUGUACACAGGAUGCUGCCACCCUGCCAACCCUGCUGCAUCCCCACAGAGACUGCUGAGGCUGGCACUGGUUAUGCCAGAGCCCCUGGGCUCCACUCACCUGGAGAAGGGACUAUGGCCAGGACCGUGGCCAGGAGCUAAACUUUGCCUUGGGCCCCCCCUUGCCUUGGCCAGCUGAAUUGCCCUGCUCAGCCCAGGGCUGUGCAGGAGCUGGACGGUUGUUUCGGAGGCAUAUGACGGGCAUCAGACCCAGCGCAGUGGCUGCGUGGCCGUGACCCUGAGCUGUCCUGCAGGACAUCGCUGUGGAGCCCGGGGGUUCCCCUCAAGCCCCAUGCGGACAGGGCCCCAGAGAACGGGCACAACUCAAUGCCUUUAUUAACAUGUAGUGGCCUGGAAGGGGCGGCCUGGGACACAUGGGAGAAAACAAGAAUCCUCCAAAACGAGGAUAAACUGGAGCUUUCCUCAAGGGCCUGCGGAGAAAACGGGCCGCGUGUCUGCUCGUAACCGAGGGGCCAGUGCAACGGCUUGACUUGGCUACACCGACUCAGACGCAUGUUGGAUUGGCCACCAAGAUGAAAGCUUUGGCAAAUAACUUACAGAGAAGAAUGGGCAGUUGGGGGCCUGUCCUCGAGCCCACUCCUGUCCCGUGCUGGCCGGGUGACCCCACACAGCGCCGUGCACUUCCAGGGCUCUUCAUCUCAUUAUCAGCCCGUCUUGGGUGGCCUCGCUGGCCACAGGAUGACGGAGAUGGUGUCACUGGCAGGUCACCGGUGGGGACCGAGCAUC
rnacentral:lncRNA from 1 species